GGGUUGUGAGGUUAAGCGACUAAGCGUACACGGUGGAUGCCCUGGCAGUCAGAGGCGAUGAAGGACGUGCUAAUCUGCGAUAAGCGCCGGUAAGGUGAUAUGAACCGUUAUAACCGGCGAUUUCCGAAUGGGGAAACCCAGUGUGACUCGUCACACUAUCAUUAACUGAAUCCAUAGGUUAAUGAGGCGAACCGGGGGAACUGAAACAUCUAAGUACCCCGAGGAAAAGAAAUCAACCGAGAUUCCCCCAGUAGCGGCGAGC
rnacentral:rRNA from 1 species